rnacentral:rRNA from 1 species
AUUGAACGCUGGCGGCAGGCCUAACACAUGCAAGUCGAGCGGAUGAAGGGAGCUUGCUCCUGGAUUCAGCGGCGGACGGGUGAGUAAUGCCUAGGAAUCUGCCUGGUAGUGGGGGAUAACGUCCGGAAACGGGCGCUAAUACUGCAUACGUCCUGAGGGAGAAAGUGGGGGAUCUUCGGACCUCACGCUAUCAUAUGAGCCUAGGUCGGAUUAGCUAGUUGGUGGGGUAAAGGCCUACCAAGGCGACGAUCCGUAACUGGUCUGAGAGGAUGAUCAGUCACACUGGAACUGAGACACGGUCCAGACUCCUACGGGAGGCAGCAGUGGGGAAUAUUGGACAAUGGGCGAAAGCCUGAUCCAGCCAUGCCGCGUGUGUGAAGAAGGUCUUCGGAUUGUAAAGCACUAUAAGUUGGGAGGAAGGGCAGUAAGUUAAUACCUUGCUGUUUUGACGUUACCAACAGAAUAAGCACCGGCUAACUUCGUG